AACCUCCGCAAUGUGAGAAAUCGCGACGGGGGGAUCCCAAGUGCCAUUCUUAACGGGAUGGCUUUUCUUAAGUGUAAAAAGCUUUUGGAAUAAGGGCUGGGCAAGACCGGUGCCAGCCGCCGCGGUAACACCGGCAGCUCUAGUGGUAGCAGUUUUUAUUGGGCCUAAAGCGUCCGUAGCCGGUUUAAUAAGUCUCUGGUGAAAUCCUGUAGCUUAACUGUGGGAAUUGCUGGAGAUACUAUUAGACUUGAGACCGGGAGAGGUUAGAGGUACUCCCAGGGUAGAGGUGAAAUUCUGUAAUCCUGGGAGGACCGCCUGUUGCGAAGGCGUCUAACUGGAACGGUUCUGACGGUGAGGGACGAAAGUUAGGGGCGCGAACCGGAUUAGAUACCCGGGUAGUCCUAACUGUAAACGAUGCGGACUUGGUGUUGGGGUGGCUUUGAGCUGCUCCAGUGCCGAAGGGAAGCUGUUAAGUCCGCCGCCUGGGAAGUACGGUCGCAAGACUGAAACUUAAAGGAAUU
rnacentral:rRNA from 1 species